ACGAACGCUGGCGGCACGCUUAACACAUGCAAGUCGAAUGAUGGAGGGAGCUUGCUCCUGAAGUCAUGGCAGACGGGUGCGCAAUAUAUAGGAACAUACCCUUGGGUGGGGGAUAACGCCGGGAAACUGGUGCUAAUACCGCAUAAGUCCGAAAGGAGAAAGGUUUACUGCCGAAGGAAUGGCCUAUAUCAGAUUAGAUAGUUGGCGGGGUAAAGGCCCACCAAGUCUGUGAUCUGUAGCUGAUCUGAGAGGAUGAUCAGCCACACUGGGACUGAGACACGGCCCAGACUCCUACGGGAGGCAGCAGUGGGGAAUAUUGGACAAUGGGGGAAACCCUGAUCCAGCGAUGCCGCGUGUAUGAUGAAGGUCUUCGGAUUGUAAAGUACUUUUAUUGGUGACGAUGAUGACGGUAACCAAUGAAUAAGCUCCGGCUAACUUCGU
rnacentral:rRNA from 1 species